GUUAUCACGGGAGACACACGGCGGGUGCUAACGUCCGUCGUGAAGAGGGAAACAACCCAGACCGCCAGCUAAGGUCCCAAAGUCAUGGUUAAGUGGGAAACGAUGUGGGAAGGCCCAGACAGCCAGGAUGUUGGCUUAGAAGCAGCCAUCAUUUAAAGAAAGCGUAAUAGCUCACUGGUCGAGUCGGCCUGCGCGGAAGAUGUAACGGGGCUAAACCAUGCACCGAAGCUGCGGCAGCGAACGUAUCACUUAAAGCGAUUCAGCGGRUKACGAUUGACGGAGCGAAGCGACGUCAAAGCGUAUACAAAGUCGAGUCGGUUUAAGGAUACGUUCGUUGGGUAGGGGAGCGUUCUGUAAGCCUGUGAAGGUGUGUCGUGAGGCAUGCUGGAGGUAUCAGAAGUGCGAAUGCUGACAUAAGUAACGAUAAAGCGGGUGAAAAGCCCGCUCGCCGGAAGACCAAGGGUUCCUGUCCAACGUUAAUCGGGGCAGGGUGAGUCGACCCCUAAGGCGAGGCCGAAAGGCGUAGUCGAUGGGAAACGGGUUAAUAUUCCCGUACUUGGUGUUACUGCGAAGGGGGGACGGAGAAGGCUAUGUUGGCCGGGCGACGGUUGUCCCGGUUUAAGCGUGUAGG
rnacentral:rRNA from 1 species